UACGUAGGGAGCAAGCGUUAUCCGGAAUUAUUGGGUGUAAAGGGUGCGUAGACGGGUUAACAAGUUAGUUGUGAAAUCCCUCGGCUCAACUGAGGAACUGCAACUAAAACUAUUAAUCUUGAGUGCAGGAGAGGUAAGUGGAAUUCCUAGUGUAGCGGUGAAAUGCGUAGAUAUUAGGAAGAACACCAGAGGCGAAGGCGGUUUACUGGACUGCAACUGACACUGAGGCUCGAAAGCGUGGGGAGCAAACAGG
rnacentral:rRNA from 1 species